AGUGAACGCUGGCGGUAGGCCUAACACAUGCAAGUCGAACGGCAGCACAGUAAGAGCUUGCUCUUACCGGUGGCGAGUGGCGGACGGGUGAGGAAUACAUCGGAAUCUACUUUUUCGUGGGGGAUAACGUAGGGAAACUUACGCUAAUACCGCAUACGACCUACGGGUGAAAGCAGGGGAUCUUCGCACCUUGCGCGUUUGAAUGAGCCGAUGUCGGAUUAGCUAGUUGGCGGGGUAAAGGCCCACCAAGGCGACGAUCCGUAGCUGGUCUGAGAGGAUGAUCAGCCACACUGGAACUGAGACACGGUCCAGACUCCUACGGGAGGCAGCAGUGGGGAAUAUUGGACAAUGGGCGCAAGCCUGAUCCAGCCAUACCGCGUGGGUGAAGAAGGCCUUCGGGUUGUAAAGCCCUUUUGUUGGGAAAGAAAAGCAGCAGGUUAAUACCCCGCUGUUCUGACGGUACCCAAAGAAUAAGCACCGGCUAACUUCGUG
rnacentral:rRNA from 1 species